CUCUCUGGGUGGCGAGUGGCGGACGGGUGAGGAAUACAUCGGAAUCUACUUUUUCGUGGGGGAUAACGUAGGGAAACUUACGCUAAUACCGCAUACGACCUACGGGUGAAAGCAGGGGAUCUUCGGACCUUGCGCGAUUGAAUGAGCCGAUGUCGGAUUAGCUAGUUGGCGGGGUAAAGGCCCACCAAGGCGACGAUCCGUAGCUGGUCUGAGAGGAUGAUCAGCCACACUGGAACUGAGACACGGUCCAGACUCCUACGGGAGGCAGCAGUGGGGAAUAUUGGACAAUGGGCGCAAGCCUGAUCCAGCCAUACCGCGUGGGUGAAGAAGGCCUUCGGGUUGUAAAGCCCUUUUGUUGGGAAAGAAAUCCAGCUGGCUAAUACCCGGUUGGGAUGACGGUACCCAAAGAAUAAGCACCGGCUAACUUCGUGCCAGCAGCCGCGGUAAUACGAAGGGUGCAAGCGUUACUCGGAAUUACUGGGCGUAAAGCGUGCGUAGGUGGUCGUUUAAGUCCGUUGUGAAAGCCCUGGGCUCAACCUGGGAACUGCAGUGGAUACUGGGCGACUAGAGUGUGGUAGAGGGUAGCGGAAUUCCUGGUGUAGCAGUGAAAUGCGUAGAGAUCAGGAGGAACAUCCAUGGCGAAGGCAGCUACCUGGACCAACACUGACACUGAGGCACG
rnacentral:rRNA from 1 species